CUACCGGGGUAUCUAAUCCUGUUUGCUCCCCACGCUUUCGCGCCUCAGCGUCAGUAACGGGCCAGUGAGUCGCCUUCGCCACUGGUGUUCUUCCGAAUAUCUACGAAUUUCACCUCUACACUCGGAGUUCCACUCACCUCUCCCGUACUCAAGAUGUUCAGUAUCAAAGGCUAUUCCAAGGUUGAGCCCUGGGCUUUCACCUCUGACUUAAACAUCCGCCUACGCGCCCUUUACGCCCAGUAAUUCCGAGCAACGCUAGCCCCCUUCGUAUUACCGCGGCUGCUGGCAC
rnacentral:rRNA from 1 species